GCCCGCCGCGCCCCGCGCCCGUCCCGCCGCCCCCGCCCGCCCUACGGGGCGCAGCAGGCGCGAAAACUUUACAAUGCGAGAAAUCGUGAUAAGGGAACCCCGAGUGCCCGUAAAUUCGGGCUGUUAAUCUGUGUAAAAAGCAGGUGGAGAAAGGGCCGGGCAAGACCGGUGCCAGCCGCCGCGGUAAUACCGGCGGCUCGAGUGGUGGCCACUAUUACUGGGCUUAAAGCGUCCGUAGCUGGAUUGUUAA
rnacentral:rRNA from 1 species